rnacentral:rRNA from 1 species
AGAACUUUGAAGAGAGAGUUCAAGAGUACGUGAAACCGUUCAGGGGUAAACCUGAGAAACCCAAAAGAUCGAACGGGGAGAUUCAUCGUCAGCGGCGCUGGCUUCCGCUCGACGCGCGAUGUCGCUCGAGGGCGGGCUCUCGGGCUCGUCCCUUCGUGACGACACGCCGACGAUGCGCGAUGCGUCCGGUGCCGUAGGCGUGCACUUCUCCCCUUGUAGAACGUCGCGACCCGUUGGGUGUCGGUCCACGGCCCGCUGUGUCGACUGUCUCGAGGCGCGUUAAUAGCGCGUCGCCGGGUCAGACACGCGGUCGCCCGGCCGGCUGCCCGGCGGUAUCGAUUUUUCAAUCUUUCGAACGCAAUGAGCCGCACAAAGUGCGUACUUUUGGCUCGGCGGCAGGCUCGCCUCGCCCGGCGUUUACGGACCUGGUGCCGUUGUCGGGCGCUUGGUAUUCACGGGCCGUUAGUCGUCGAUGUCCUCGUACGGGCUCUCGUAUGUUCAUCCCCCUCGCGGGGAUGGACGCGCAAGUCGGCGACGCUACUGCUUUGGGUACUUUCAGGACCCGUCUUG